rnacentral:rRNA from 1 species
AUUGAACGCUGGCGGCAGGCCUAACACAUGCAAGUCGAACGAGUGGCGGACGGGUGAGUAAUGUCUGGGAAACUGCCUGAUGGAGGGGGAUAACUACUGGAAACGGUAGCUAAUACCGCAUACCAUCGGAUGUGCCCAGAUGGGAUUAGCUAGUAGGUGGGGUAACGGCUCACCUAGUCGACGAUCCCUAGCUGGUCUGAGAGGGUGACCAGCCACACUUGAACUGAGACACGGUCCAGACUCCUACGAGAGGCAGCAGUGGGGAAUAUUGCACAAUGGGCGCAAGCCUGAUGCAGCCAUGCCGCGUGUGUGAAGAAGGCCUUCGGGUUGUAAAGCACUGUCAGCGGGGAGGCGUUACCCGCAGAAGAAGCACCGGCUAACUCCGUGCCAGCAGCCGCGGUAAUAC